rnacentral:rRNA from 1 species
UACGUAGGGUGCAAGCGUUAAUCGGAAUUACUGGGCGUAAAGCGUCCGCAGGCGGUUGCGUAAGACAGAUGUGAAAUCCCCGGGCUCAACCUGGGAACCGCAUUUGUGACUGCGCAGCUAGAGUACGGCAGAGGGGGAUGGAAUUCCGCGUGUAGCAGUGAAAUGCGUAGAUAUGCGGAGGAACACCGAUGGCGAAGGCAAUCCCCUGGGCCUGUACUGACGCUCAUGGACGAAAGCGUGGGGAGCAAACAGG